rnacentral:rRNA from 1 species
GAGGAACGCGGGCGGCGUGCCUAAUACAUGCAAGUCGAGCGAACAGACGAGGAGCUUGCUCCUCUGACGUUAGCGGCGGACGGGUGAGUAACACGUGGAUAACCUACCUAUAAGACUGGGAUAACUUCGGGAAACCGGAGCUAAUACCGGAUAAUAUAUUGAACCGCAUGGUUCAAUAGUGAAAGACGGUUUUGCUGUCACUUAUAGAUGGAUCCGCGCCGCAUUAGCUAGUUGGUAAGGUAACGGCUUACCAAGGCAACGAUGCGUAGCCGACCUGAGAGGGUGAUCGGCCACACUGGAACUGAGACACGGUCCAGACUCCUACGGGAGGCAGCAGUAGGGAAUCUUCCGCAAUGGGCGAAAGCCUGACGGAGCAACGCCGCGUGAGUGAUGAAGGUCUUCGGAUCGUAAAACUCUGUUAUUAGGGAAGAACAAAUGUGUAAGUAACUAUGCACGUCUUGACGGUACCUAAUCAGAAAGCCACGGCUAACUACGUG